AGGUUAAAAUAGGUCAAAUGUCUUCUCUCACGAUCGAAUCGCCUCUAAGAGCGCCACAGCAUGUGCUUGGUCCCUGGUGAGCACUCAGCACGUCAUCGUCCCUGGAACCAGACUGGACAUGAUGUCUGCUGGGAAUAUUGUACGUCAUUUCAGUGUGUACCUUCAUCAAGCGAAAAAACUCGUCAAUGGCGUCCUCCUCCCCUGGGAACUGUUUCUUCAGGCUGGCUGCCAUUUCAGUCUUUCCAGCAUGGAUGUGAUACUCUCUGAGCGGUGGAAAGUGGAAAAUAGAACAUGUGGCGGGCCCAAAAGCAGAGUAUCAAAGUGUUGCUCCAGUCGAUGAAACUGCAGCUGGCCUUCUGUGAUCUGAUCCAACGCAACCCUCAGCAGGCUGUUCUCAUGAAGCUGGCCCAGCUCCUGGAGGCCUGACGUUCUUCUCACUGAACACCUUGUAGCGCCGCCCGAAGGUCAGGAAGGUGAUCACCAGCCCCACAAACACCACAGCAAGCAGCCACCACCACAUCGUCCAGCCUGGACCAGCUGAAUAAAGGAAAGUACGUGAUGGACGGCAGCGCGUUAUAUAGUGAAGACGUGAUGAGUGCUGGGUAUGGGUAGAAAUACUUCAAAACUCAUGACAUGUUGGCAAUGAUGGUGUGACGGAGAACACACAGAAGUACUUGUUUAGCCACUGAUAAUCACAUUAGCAAGUACAAGCAGUACUCACUACUCCACUACUACCUUAGGCUACUUUUUCGAGCAGACCUUUAACGCUACGUUAAAGGUUAAACAAAGACAAACAGUCUUCUCUGCUAAGAUGCUUGCUUACUCGUGCCGGGAUGAGCACAUGACGUUUCAUUACACUCAUAGCAAAUAUUCACAACUCAACAUUACAUUUGGGUCAUGUAAUAUCAUCCUGAAUACUUCAAUAUGACUAUGCAGUACAUCCAUCAUAUUUGUGCACCAGGACUAUAUGGGAAGAACUGGGAAGAAUGCACAUGGCAACAUAUUGAUUAUCCACUUCUUGUGUGACUCAUUCAUUUAUUGAUUAGCAUAGAAAUCUUGUCACAUUUGAAUCUUGUGACACCCCUAAUAUAUACGGUAUAUACGCUGUAUGUAUAUGUAUGUAUGCAUAGGGUGGGGCUGCUUGAGUUGGUCAUGAUUUAGACAGAGUGUGGUUUCGGGGUGCAAAGUAGUAAGGGAGAGCUAAGUGAGUCAAUGCAAGAGAGAGAGUGGAGGAAUCUGGACGUCUAGAGGUCUAGUCGUGGAACUUCAUGACUCCCUCAAAGCCGUGGAAGGUGAAAGCUUCCAGCAGAGGACUGCAGGUCUCUCGGGCCAAGCAAGCCAUCCUGUUGUUUUCACAGCUUUCCUCACUGCCCGGCUUGAUGUACACCCCGUCCGCAGAGUGAAUGGAAGGAUCCUCGUCAAAGUAGUUAUGGGGGCGCAGCAGAACCCCGCCCCCAUUCCCCACAGUCACGGUGUUGGGGAUGUCCUCGGCAUGAGGAAUGUGGAGGAAUCCGGUGGUGACCCAAGCAACCAGAUCCUGGAAAUACACAAACAGUCAUCUCCAAUACCUUGUAUUUGGUGUUGCCAGGUGUACUUUUCACCUUCACCUCAUUCUCAAUGCUCUCAUUGUCUUGGAUGUACGAGCUAAAGUCAACUGCUGCCUUCCAUAUGUUGUUCUGAUUGUACAAACUACUGCUGGUCUGCUCCAAGUCCUUGUGCUUGGUGAUAGCAACCUUAUACCUACACACACACACACACACACACACACACACACACACACACACACACACACGCGUACAGAGGCACAGACCCAAUGAUAAAUGUUAUGUUAAACGAUAUUAAAAUGAAGAUAUGAUGUUAAAUGUUAUGUUAAAUGAUAUUAAAACAAGAUAUGAUGUUAAAUGUUAUGUUAAAUGAUAUUAAAAUGAAGAUAUGAUGUUAAAUGUUAUGUUAAAUGAUAUUAAAACA